GGGCGCUUUGCGAUGGAAAAGGUUUAUAUCCGCUUACAGUUUCAGAGGCCGGAAACUCCAGGAUCAGGCUGCUAGCAACUGCUCAGUUGUGUGAUCUGCCGUUGACACUCACUGGAGACCUGCUGGGGUGGAACUUAAGUGCCCAGACCACAGGGACUGGAAAGUUCAUGUUGAAACUGAAUCCCCACUGUACUGAGAGAAGGAACCUUCAUGAAGUGGCUAAGUCACAAGAGUGUCACACUCACGGGUGGAAACCCUAACUACAACAGAGCUGCAGGGACUCAUAAUCAUCUCUUCCUGUCCUUCUCUUCCGUGUGAGAAAGCAGCACUGAGGGACCACAGUGACACAGAGGGCCCUUACCUGACACCAAAGCUGUCACCAUCUUGUUCUUGGAGUUCUUGGUUUCUGGAACUAGGGAUAUAAAUUUGUGCUCUGUAUAGUUUACUCAGUCUCGGACUUCUUGUUAUAG
rnacentral:lncRNA from 1 species